rnacentral:lncRNA from 1 species
AUCCAGAGGGUAGUGCGACUGACGGAGCAGAACUACUGGUUUCACCUAAUUCUUCCAUGAAGUUAGGAAGAAAAGAUUGUGGAGCCUUUCCAAUACGCCAUUGCAUAGGAGGAAGGGGUGGGAGCGGUGGCAUGUCCUCCUGAUUAGGUGUAUUGGUCUCAGGGAUCAGACCAAAGCUAGGGAAAAUAGGAUCCAGAUUCAACUCUUGCUUAGGAUUGUUCCAUUCUAUGCCUGCUGAUUGUGGUACAAACUCUAAUCCCCUGGAAACACUUGACUGUUUCAAUUCCUCAUCUUCUAAUGCAUGGCUUACACGCAUUCCGGCUGAAAUCGACAGUGAUGAAAAGACCAAGAUGACUCAAAGCUUGAUCCCCAUGACUCAACAACACCAAGUUCCAAAAAGCUUGCAGUAGGUUUCGAGGAAAAUUCUCCUAUUGCCAAACCAUCAUUUGCUGAUGGCUGAGAAUCAAGUGCUUGAGUGAGUGAGUUAGACGACUAUUACCUCCCAGACCGACUUGUCAUGUGGAAUUUGGACGAUGCCACUGGUAAACGUGAUAUGUAAGUAUAUGCUAUUAAUGUUUUUUUUUUGCUUGACAUUUACUAUUAUAUAUAAGUAUUUACCAUAUUUGCAGUAAGGUCUUCUUUAACAACAAGACUGCUGCGUCGAUCAGGAUGGCAGAAAUUUGGUUUAACUGUCUUCAAGAUACAAAAGAGGUGGAUUAUAUUUAUUUUGUUAUUUAUUUCUAGCAUUUCUAUUUUAUUUUUCUCUAACACCAUUUGCAUUGUUUUGUGUUUAAGAAACAAGGGGAAUUAUUGUGCGGUCUUCAUGUUCCUUUGCAUUGUUUUGUUACUUAGGUGUUUAAGAAACAAGGGGAAUUAUUGUGAGGUCUUCCUGUUAACGAACAAGUAAAAUGUGUUUUUUUUUCCAACUUUUUUUUUGAGAGAUUUUAUUGGUAUCGUUAACUUUCCAACGUGUGUUUGCAGCCGCCGGAUAGUGCUUUGAUUUUGACCAUGGUUUACCAGAGGAGCUUAUCAAGGAACAACUGAAAUUUUUUUUUCAAAAUGUGGAGUUAUCAGGAAGAUUUUUAUCCCUAAAGACAAGAACACUGCUGGCUGUUUAGGGUUAAGUCUUCUAGUUUUCAAUUUGCUACAGUUACUUAAUGGUGUUAAAUGCUCUACUAACUUUAAAAAAAAAAUGUUUCACGGUUUCGGAUACGUUUUUAUGAAACAAAAAGGUCAGAAAGCUGAGAAGAAGGAUAGAGAUGAGAUGGAAGGUCGUACAAUUAGGGUUUCAGAUUGCACUUGCCAUGUGAGAUUCAGGGAAAUUAAGGCAGCGAUGAAGGCGGAGGGAUACGAGGAGUCUGAGGACUAGGUCUGAGUUGUUCUACUCUCGUCAUGUUACAGAGGUUCUAUUACCCAUCUCGGUUUAAGAGUAUAUCGGUCUAAUAAGUUGGUUUAUUAAGUAACUGGGUUUGGUCAUUUGUUAGACCAGGAACAAUAGUAUAUGUAAGGUGUUUUAGCCAUUGAGAAUCAAUCCAACAUUAAACCUAAUCUAAUCUCUUACUUCUCUCUCUAUUGUCAUGUCAUCAUCAUACAUAUCGACCUACAAUAUCCAUCUAUUCGACAACCUCAGGCUCUUUUCAAUCCAACAAGUUCAUACUGCCUCUUCUCUUUACCAAAAUCCAGAGGGUAUAUCCAAGGCAAAGAUUGCAGAGGAGGUAAUUAUAGAUAAUUUGAAGAAAGGAUAUAGUCAUCAGAUCUAAGAGGAUGAUGUGGCAGAGCAUGAUUCAUACUUAGCCAAGCAAAGAAGACAAGAGGAGGUUAUAACCUCUGAUGUUGGAUCAGAAGGUAGAAAGAUCAUGGUGACUAUAUUUAAGAAUAAGCUGGAAGGUCAAAUGGUAGAUGAGAGUGACAAUGCAACAAAAGGUGAUGAGUUUAUGAAAGAAACCCUACCUUUUGAGGAUGAUGAGGUGAAUUCAUAAUCUGAAACCCGAGAAGAACCAGCCUUACAUAAGAAACCAUUAUUAGCUGGUUCCGAUGGCUUGUCCACACGACAUUUGGAUAGCUUUGUUGAUGCUACUCUAGUCAAUUCGGAACUGAAGCAGCUAGAACUGUCUGCUGUAGUAAGGUUUCAGAUUCCCCAUGAAGGUGAGGCAAAACUUAACUAAUUUGGUUCAGUUAGUUGACUGGUUUAUUUAAAUGAUUUUCAAGUCAACCGGCUGGGUUUUCUCAUUUGCUAGACCAAGAACAAUAUUAUUAUAUGGAAGGGGUUUUAGUCAAUCAAACAUUAAACCUAAAUCUCUUAGUCUUCUCUCUUUAUAUAGUUUUACUUAUUUGGUUCAGUUAGUUGACUGGUUUAGCAUUGGUUCGAUUUUAUUUUAUUAGAAGAGGCUACAAUAAAUCUAAUAAAUUUAAUUAAUCAUACUACAUAUGGAUGGUUAUAGAUCACUAUAUUUAUUAUUUAUUAAUUAAAAUUGAAAUUGAUAUUUUUAAUUUAUCCGGUUUGGUUUCUUUGUAAUAUAAUCAAAUUAGGCUCGGUCCUGAGUUUAUAUAAAAAGUAUAUUUAGUUCAAUUCAGCUUACCUCGAUUAGGUUUGAGAUUACUUUGUAACAGAGUAACCAAAUAUUGCCUUGGAAGUGUUCUUUGUACUGGUAUGAUCGGUUGGAGAACCACAUACCAAAGGACACAAAUGAUUUCACAUUACAUAGCCAACUAAAAUAAUCUCAUGAAAGAAAAAUAAUGAUUAGAAAAACCACAAACAUCCGUAAAACUAAUACAAAUUCCGGAGUUUACUUACAACAUGCACACACACCUAUAAGCAAAAUAGUAUAUAGUAUAUACGAUAACAUAUAUUUAAGCAAUGACCGUACAUAUUUGAUAUUAUGUCUGACAUAUAAAUUGUAUAACCUACCUGACUCAGAGCGCUGCUUGGUGCACUCAUCAUCAAACAAGAACCAACACGACAGAAAAAGUUAACUGUGUACCCAGCGAUCAUGACUCAAGAAUCACUCCAACUAUCUGAAUCUUCAUCCUCAUCGCUUCCAGCCAUUGCCUGCACCAGAGUAUCACACCGUGUUUUCAGAUGUGUGAGCCAUAGAGAAAACAAGUUGAUAUUGUAUUUGGUCAUGAGGCCUUUAAAAUUAUGAAGGGCCACAAAGAGUAAAAAUAAGGAGAUGGAAAGAGAGACGACGGACCUGGCGUAUUGUGUUUGCUUUUUCUAAGAUUGCAGCUACCCUUAGGUUCGUUUUAGGACCAGUUUGAAUGCUUGGACGCGUUGCUACGGCAGGUUUCAGACUAACGGACUGCAUAAACAAAGCAAGGUCAUACAACUCCUGAUCAAAUUUUUGUGCGUAAGGUAAGAAGAAUGUGUGUUACCUUGUUUCGUAUUUGUGCAAGCAAUGAAUCUUUGUCAUCUUGCUUUGAUUUGAUUGGUGGUUGGACCCUUUCAGAGACUUUCUUCAGCUGGCAAAUCAACAGAACAAGGGAUCAGAGACACACUUUUUUAGCAAAGGCAUGGUACUGCAGACAAGAUGUAAAUGUUACCGUGCGUCUGUCGUGAGCUGCAACGGCAUCGACAAGCGGACUUCUUGGACGGGGAAGUUUAACCAUAGGGACCUCUUCUAGUUUAUCUGUGUCUAAAGUAGGUGCAAUAGUGAAUGCGUUGACAGGCCACAUAGCAUCUCCCACUGAAGCAGGAGUUAUCUUCUGAACCGAAGAGUUUGAUGGUUCUCCUGUUUCUGCAUUUGAAGCAUCAGGAUCGGAAUGACCAUUAUCUUCCACCUUUGCUGACUGAGGUGGUGUCAACGCUUCGGUUUCAGGACAAUCUUUCUGACCUCUUGAGGUUUCUGAAACCUGCACAUCUGUGUCGUCUUCUAAAUCUUCGUUUUCAGCUGAAGGCUCCUGAGGCAUCUGCGAUGAAGACUUUUGUGAAGAAAUGAGCUCUUCGUUCUGAGAAGUAUGGUCAGCCAAAAGACUGUUCUCUUCAGAACCAAGAUCCUCUAUACUCCCGUGGUUAGGAAUUGCAAGGAGCUCAAUAGAAGGAUCCGCUGACUGAGUUCUCUGGGAACCGAAACUGUCGUACUGACUAUUCAAAUCAGUGGCAACGGACGGGAACUGAAUGGAUGAAUGCAAUGGCUUUUCUGAUUCACUGGUCAUAGACUCUCCAGGAAGUUGUUCUGACUUCUCCCUUCCUAGAGAUUCUGACAGCUCCGGUGUUGACCACAUUUGAACAUUCAAGCUAGAUCCAGAGGGUAGUGCGACUGACGGAGCAGAACUACUGGUUUCACCUAAUUCUUCCAUGAAGUUAGGAAGAAAAGAUUGUGGAGCCUUUCCAAUACGCCAUUGCAUAGGAGGAAGGGGUGGGAGCGGUGGCAUGUCCUCCUGAUUAGGUGUAGUGGUCUCAGGGAUCAGACCAAAGCUAGGGAAAAUAGGAUCCAGAUUCAACUCUUGCUUAGGAUUGUUCCAUUCUAUGCCUGCUGAUUGUGGUACAAACUCUAAGCCCCUGGAAACACUUGACUGUUUCAAUUCCUCAUCUUCU